rnacentral:tRNA from 1 species
GGGGUUGGGGAUUUAGCUCAGCGGUAGAGCGCUUGCCUAGCGAGCGCAAGGCCCUGGGUUCGGUCCCCAGCUCCG